GGGUUGUGAGGUUAAGCGACUAAGCGUACACGGUGGAUGCCCUGGCAGUCAGAGGCGAUGAAGGACGUGCUAAUCUGCGAUAAGCGUCGGUGAGGUGAUAUGAACCGUUAUAACCGGCGAUUUCCGAAUGGGGAAACCCAGUGUGUUUCGACACACUAUCAUUAACUGAAUCCAUAGGUUAAUGAGGCGAACCGGGGGAACUGAAACAUCUAAGUACCCCGAGGAAAAGAAAUCAACCGAGAUUCCCCCAGUAGCGGCGAGCGAACGGGGAGGAGCCCAGAGCCUGAAUCAGUGUGUGUGUUAGUGGAAGCGUCUGGAAAGGCGUGCGAUACAGGGUGACAGCCCCGUACACAAAAAUGCACAUAUUGUGAGCUCGAUGAGUAGGGCGGGACACGUGGUAUCCUGUCUGAAUAUGGGGGGACCAUCCUCCAAGGCUAAAUACUCCUGACUGACCGAUAGUGAACCAGUACCGUGAGGGAAAGGCGAAAAGAACCCCGGCGAGGGGAGUGAAAAAGAACCUGAAACCGUGUACGUACAAGCAGUGGGAGCCUCUUAAUGGGGUGACUGCGUACCUUUUGUAUAAUGGGUCAGCGACUUAUAUUCUGUAGCAAGGUUAACCGAAUAGGGGAGCCGAAGGGAAACCGAGUCUUAACUGGGCGUUAAGUUGCAGGGUAUAGACCCGAAACCCGGUGAUCUAGCCAUGGGCAGGUUGAAGGUUGGGUAACACUAACUGGAGGACCGAACCGACUAAUGUUGAAAAAUUAGCGGAUGACUUGUGGCUGGGGGUGAAAGGCCAAUCAAACCGGGAGAUAGCUGGUUCUCCCCGAAAGCUAUUUAGGUAGCGCCUCGUGAAUUCAUCUCCGGGGGUAGAGCACUGUUUCGGCAAGGGGGUCAUCCCGACUUACCAACCCGAUGCAAACUGCGAAUACCGGAGAAUGUUAUCACGGGAGACACACGGCGGGUGCUAACGUCCGUCGUGAAGAGGGAAACAACCCAGACCGCCAGCUAAGGUCCCAAAGUCAUGGUUAAGUGGGAAACGAUGUGGGAAGGCCCAGACAGCCAGGAUGUUGGCUUAGAAGCAGCCAUCAUUUAAAGAAAGCGUAAUAGCUCACUGGUCGAGUCGGCCUGCGCGGAAGAUGUAACGGGGCUAAACCAUGCACCGAAGCUGCGGCAGCGACACUAUGUGUUGUUGGGUAGGGGAGCGUUCUGUAAGCCUGUGAAGGUGGCCUGUGAGGGUUGCUGGAGGUAUCAGAAGUGCGAAUGCUGACAUAAGUAACGAUAAAGCGGGUGAAAAGCCCGCUCGCCGGAAGACCAAGGGUUCCUGUCCAACGUUAAUCGGGGCAGGGUGAGUCGACCCCUAAGGCGAGGCCGAAAGGCGUAGUCGAUGGGAAACAGGUUAAUAUUCCUGUACUUGGUGUUACUGCGAAGGGGGGACGGAGAAGGCUAUGUUGGCCGGGCGACGGUUGUCCCGGUUUAAGCGUGUAGGCUGGUUUUCCAGGCAAAUCC
rnacentral:rRNA from 1 species